rnacentral:lncRNA from 1 species
GGUCUCCUCUCCUGAGCUGAUCAUCUGUCUCUCGGGAUGAAAUAAAGCUUACUGCAGAAGGAUCUGAGUGGCCUGCGUGCGUUUUGCUGGCGAGAUGCUAGCGUGGGUCAUCUGGUGCCAGAAUCCCGGGAAUUAACAUUGCCGGCGUUGGGGAGAACCCCCGGAAACGGGGCGGAUUCAGAACUGCAGGGAAAAGGAAGAAGACAAUCCUCUUUGGGUUCCAGAACGCCUCACCCGAAGGAUCUCCCCUUCAGAAGAUGUGGACAAAAGAGGGAACACUGAAACAACGAUGGAUACUGACCCUUCUACCGGAGAUCCUGGUUCCUAGUAUAUCAGGGGAAUAGCGUUGGGAAUUAUGUCCACCUUUCCCCUGCUCAUGCCUGUCAUGCACAGUGCACAAGUGAGCAGUUUAAGCUUAUUUAAAGAAAAGAGAGAUUUUAGAAUCUCUGCUAUUAUAGUUGGCUUGGUAGCAACAGCAGCAAUAGCUGCCUCGAUCACUCCUUCGGCCCUUGCCUUGUCUGCUACGGUUCAGACAACGUAAACCAUCAAUGACCUUUCGGCAAGAGUGACAUCGGUCCUGGACAGGCAGGCCACGGCCAACUCCCAGAUAUAGGGAGGCCUCAUGUUGGUAAACCAACGGAUCGAUCUGGUCCAAGAACAGGUGGAUAUCCUGUGGCAAAUGGCUUAGCUAAGUUGCGAACAUAAGCUGCCUAGCCUCUGUAUCACCUCAGUACAAUUUGAGAAUUUUAUAAGAUCAAUUAACCUGUCAAAGGCUUUGUCUCGUUAUUUGUUACAGAAUUGGACCAUAGAAUUUGAACAGACACUCUGGGAGCUGAGGAUCACCACGUCUGGACCUGUCAUUGACAGAAGGAUUUUCUACCUGGAUUUCUGCAGCAUUCUCCUACUUAAAGGAAUGGGUGGGGGUGGAUUUGUUUGGAGUGACUGUGUGCGGUGGAGUACUGCUCCUACUAUGGAUGAUCUGCAAACUCGAAGUCCAAACAAGGAGGGACAGGAUGGUAGUGACCCAGGCGCUUGUUGCUUUGGAGCAUGGUGCCUCCCCUGAUAUACGAUUAUCGAUACUUAAGCAAUAGGUCGCUGGCCGCUCAGCUCUUGCACCCCACGAGGCUAGUCUCAUUGCACGGGAUAGAGUGAGUGUGCUUCAGCAGCCCGGGAGAGUUGUACGGUUAAGCACUGCAGUAGAAAGGCUCUGCGGCAUAAGAUGAGCCUAUUCUAGGGAGACAUGUCAUCUUGUAUGAAGGUUGAGUGUCCAAGUGUCCUUCCCCCAGGAAAAACGACACGGGAGCGGACCAAAGCCCCUCCGGGUGACAAGCCUGGGAGGAGGUUUUGUGUAAGGCCCCUAUGCUUGCACACUGGGGAUUUGACCUCUAUCUCCACUCUCAGUACUGGGUGGCCUGUUGCUUCUAAAAUAAAAGAAAAGGGGGAGAUGUGAGGAGGCGCCCUCACAGUUGCCGUUACAAGAUGGCGCUGACAUCCGUUGCUCAUAGUAAAAUGUGUGCAAGCGUCAGGGUAUCGUUCCAUUACCUGAGCCCUGCCUCUCUCGUGGCAUUAACUGACUGAUAGUGGGCAGCCAAUCCCGGUGGUGCACAUCUCCAACCGUUCUUUUGCAGCCUAUAAAAGGGAUGGGUUUUCUGCUCUCUGGGUCUCCUCUCCUGAGCUGAUCAUCUGUCUCUCGGGAUGAAAUAAAGCUUACUGCAGAAGGAUCCGAGUGGCCUGCGUACGUUUUGCUGGCGAGACGGUAGCGUGGGUCAAUUUAGAAGUAGAAAGUAGGUUUGUCCAGAACCAAGUUGACCUGUAUGCUGCCAUGCUGCCCAUCAUAAUGCCAAUCAAUUAUAUCUCUGAAACUGUAAGCCAUGUCCAAUUAAAUAUUUUCUCUGUAAGAGUUGCCUUGGUCAUGGUGUAUCUUCACAGCAAUGAAAACCCUAACUGCUUGAACUAAAACUAGCUACAUUUUUGUCUCAUAAAAUAAGAACAAUAUUUCUAAAGAAUGUAAAAAUGCCUUUUCUAUGACACUCAAAACUAAGCUGAAUAAGAGUGAACAUUCUUUUCUUGUUUUUGAUUUUAGAGAUUUAACAUAUUUUUUCCUAAUCAUGAAUAAUAUUUGCUAUAUGAUUGUCCUAUGUACAAUUUAUUAUGUGCCAUAUGUCCUCAGAGCCCUCAUUGUAAAGGAAUGGUGAUAUUUUUUGCAUAUAGCAUAUAGCACAUUCUACCUCUACUGAGAUAGUCAUGUUAUUUAAUUCUUUUAAUUUAUUUGCUAACUGCAUUGGAUUAGUAGUUCACAUAUUUUGAAUGAUCAUUUUAUCUCUGUAAUGUCAGCAAUUUAAUCGUGGUUGGUUGCACUUUUUGUAUACAUUAGUUGAAAAUAUAUGGCUUGUC